UACAGAGGGGGCAAGCGUUGUUCGGAAUUACUGGGCGUAAAGGGCGCGUAGGCGGCCUUCUAAGUCGAACGUGAAAUCCCCGGGCUCAACCCGGGAACUGCGUCCGAUACUGGAAGGCUUGAAUCCGGGAGAGGGAUGCGGAAUUCCAGGUGUAGCGGUGAAAUGCGUAGAUAUCUGGAGGAACACCGGUGGCGAAGGCGGGUCUCUGGACAGUUCCUGACGCUGAGGCACGAAGGCCAGGGGAGCAAACGGG
rnacentral:rRNA from 1 species